GACAGAGGUGCCAAGCGUUAGGCGGAAUCACUGGGCUUAAAGCGUGUGUAGGCGGGCGGGCAAGUACCUUGUGAAAUCCCACGGCUCAACCGUGGAACGGCUGGGUAUACUGGUUGUCUUGAGCCAGCUAGGGGCGAGCGGAACAGACGGUGGAGCGGUGAAAUGCGUAGAUAUCGUCUGGAACGCCGAAGGUGAAAACAGCUCGCUGGGGCUGCGCUGACGCUGAGACACGAAAGCCAGGGGAGCGAACGGG
rnacentral:rRNA from 1 species